rnacentral:rRNA from 1 species
UGGGGAAUUUUGGACAAUGGACGCAAGUCUGAUCCAGCAGUGCCGCGUGCAGGAUGAAGGCCUUCGGGUUGUAAACUGCUUUUGUACGGAGCGAAAAGGUCUGCCCUAAUACGGUGGGCUCAUGACGGUACCGUAAGAAUAAGCACCGGCUAACUACGUGCCAGCAGCCGCGGUAAUACGUAGGGUGCGAGCGUUAAUCGGAAUUACUGGGCGUAAAGCGUGCGCAGGCGGUUAUGCAAGACAGAGGUGAAAUCCCCGGGCUCAACCUGGGAACUGCCUUUGAGACUGCAUAGCUAGGGUACGGUAGAGGGGGAUGGAAUUCCGCGUGUAGCAGUGAAAUGCGUAGGUAUGCGGAGGAACACCGAUGGCGAAGGCAAUCCCCUGGACCUGUACUGACGCUCAUGCACGAAAGCGUGGGGAGCAAAC